GUCAGGCCCCUUCAAAUGGCCACCAGAUAAAUCUCAAGGGUUGUGAGAUUAUUAGAGGGAAAGGACAGAAGAAGUUCUGAUACACAGAUCUGUUUUCAGUAUGAAUUUUUCUCUUAUCUUUGAUUUUAAGUGACAUAUUGGCUUGUUUUAACACUUACCGAGUGGGAAUCCGGCCAAAACACGGUGACCACAACUGUACACUGGUUUAAGUGUAAAACGUAAAUAAUCAAGUUAACUACAAGUCAUGGUUUUAUAAUUAUAGGCUAUAUCCAUCGCUGACACUGAUAGCCAAUUUAAAGAUAGUGUUUACGUUCAAUUAAUGUAAAACGGCCGUUUAACGUCCUCUCGUUCCUCAUGUAAUGCCUGCUGUCUACUGUACCUACUUACCUCUCUCUACUGUCUCUGCUACGACCCAUUAUUUUACGUUGCCAUGGUUACCAGGCAACAAACUACGCUUGGCAUGUCGUGUGCCGGAUUUUUUUUUCUUUCUUUCUUCUUUAACGUUGUGAAUGUAAAAGACAGGGACCGUUUGUUUUCUGUAACGUUGUACAAAACUGAGCAUGUUAGUGAAUAAUACUGAUAAGGAACCAUGGAGACAAAGAACACGCAGCCAACUUUCCCUUGGUACAAGGAGAGGUUGCAGACCAAGUAUCUUAAAGCCCCAACAAACAAGAUUUCCUCGGUCAGCAGUAGUUGGCGUUUUGUAAAUGUGAACCUCGAUGAUUGCUCUUCAGUCUUAUCUGAGGCCCGAAGAGGUGUCUCACCGGUUAUUUUCCAUAACCCUUCAAAUCACAGUUCCACUCAAAAGCCUAGAAAGAGCAUCCCUAAAGAGCAUGCAUGCUUCUCAAAGCAGAUGAUCCGAAAGCAGAUUCGCAGAGAAUAUGUGGCCUCUGUGGAGGGAAACAUCAAACAGCAUCCUUUAGCUAUGUACCCGCACUAUAAGGAUCACAUGACCGCAGAGUUAUUUGAUAAGGUGGUAUCCAUUUUGGACCCAGACAUGUGCGUAAACAGCGCCUCUUCACUUCCUACGCCUACAACACACCAUGCAGAGGAGGAAGAAGAAGAGGAACACUGUAAAGAGCCAACAGCUCUGACGUCCAAAGUCCAAGUCCUGGAAACCCAUAUAUACUACAAAUGAAUGGAAACGGUAUCAAGAAAGGCCAGAAAGUCAAAGUGAAUCAACUGAGCAACCAUGAAGACAUGAAAGUAGCCACCAAACUUUUCAGCAGAUGGUUUGUUUCUCCGGAUGAAGAGAUCAACGUUCCUGAAUCUCCCAUACUUCAACACUCUUCAUCAACCACCUUCCCCAUUUAAGUGGAGAACGCCAACUGUUUCUGAGUUCAAGAAUAAAACCUUGUCAAAGCCACAUACAGGGAGGACAGUUACAUUUCUAAAGCCUUUGAGCCAAAUAUAGUACAGAAAGAGUAAAGUUUACAAAAUAUUAAGCACACAAAUAGAAUUAAAAUAUCACUUUUGAUGACUGCUGAUGAGAAAAAUCCAGAAACACGUACAGCAAAGAGCCUGGUAACUGAAUCCGAAAACCUGGAAGAAAACUGGCACAGAUGACUUCAAGACACAGGCAACAUGUUCAAGGAGCUGGAUUUUAAAAUCAAAACAAGUGAUAAGAUGAGGACUACCACCUGCCACAAAAAUCCAUAUCCCCUUCACUAUCUAUUAAAAAUGGGGGACAGCUGGUUUGAUGACAAGAUGAGGAGGUACAACAAAUGUACAGUAUGUCACCGAAGCUGUCAGGAGUUAUGUAAUCCACAAUGGACUAAGCAUGACCAGGGAAAAAAUGUGAGACUAUAUAUUUAGAGGCAGUCAGCAUGUGUGUUCAGAGCAUUUGCAUAAAGGAAAUGAUCUAAAAAAAGAAACAGAAAAACAGAAGAGAAAAUAAAGAGAUGUUAAUCUAAAAUACAUCCCUUUUUUUCAUUGUUCUAUCUGAAUCAUUUCAAUAAAAGAGGGGUGGGUCUUUCUGAGUGCAUAAGGGAGACAUUUAACUACUGUAUCAGCAAAGGGGGCAGAUAUUACCCUGAACUGCAUGUUGUAUUAGCUCCAACUAUUUGUCCUGUCUAUUCUACUGUAUAUAACAGUAAUUCCUAAUACAGCUAGUCAAAUAACAUGACCUUGGCUCAGAUAAGCAACAAAAAAUGAUGUAUGGAUUAACCAAUUAAAUAAUAAUUACUUAAAACUGA